rnacentral:rRNA from 1 species
AACGCGAAGAACCUUACCUGGGUUUGACAUCCCUCGAAUCCUCCCGAAAAGGAGGAGUGCCCUUCGGGGAACGGGGUGACAGGUGCUGCAUGGCUGUCGUCAGCUCGUGCCGUGAGGUGUUGGGUUAAGUCCCGCAACGAGCGCAACCCUUGNUCCUUAGUUGCCAGCGAGUAAUGUCGGGCACUCUAGGGAGACCGCCUCGGNUCAACGGGGAGGAAGGUGGGGACGACGUCAAGUCAUCAUGGCCCUUACGCCCAGGGCUACACACGUACUACAAUGGCGGGUACAAUGGGCUGCGAGACCGCAAGGUGGAGCCAAUCCCAAAAAACCCGUCCCAGUCCGGAUCGGGGUCUGCAACUCGACCCCGUGAAGUCGGAAUCGCUAGUAAUCGGAGAUCAGCAUGCUCCGGUGAAUACGUUCCCGGGUCUUGUACACACCG